rnacentral:lncRNA from 1 species
CCAGCCCCCGGUACCUGGAAAUUAUCAAUGACUGCACGUGCCCAGCUCUUCUGGACCCUCUGAUGUUCUGUCACAUGGGAGCAAAUGGAGAGCUGGGACAUCCUUUGACCUCAGCCCUCAAAGGAUAAUUAACUUCUUGCUCAAUCCCUCAGCAUUUGACCAAAAUACCAAGAUAAAAAUGUAGGCCCGUGUUAGUACAAAAGGUCCUGCAUUCAACUGUCCUCCUUAUAUUGCCCAAGAAGUCUUGUGGAAUUCCAAGAAGAAUUCAAGGGGCCAGACCUGGAAUAUGCAUCAAUGAGAAUAAGACACUGACGAAGCUAACGACACUAACGGGGAAUGAGGAUAAUCGACUCCUGUCCUUUGUUUUACUCUUUAAC